AAUAAGCUAUUCUUAUCGUAUUCUAUAAGAACUCUAUAAGAACAGGAUAAGGCAUAAAGGGCCCGAUUUUUAUUCCGAUAUGUACGCGUAGGAUCUUCUUAUUGAACAAUAUAAGAACACUAUAAGUAUAAUUUAAGGCUCCACUAAGAACAUCAGCAACCGCCGGAAAAGAAUGAAAAAUAUUUUGAGAAUAUUUUAAGAACAUUAAAAAUGAAAAGCCUUAGAGAAUAUAUUAAGAACAAGUACAGAAUAUAGGCCUCUAUUCUUUGCGUAUUCUUAUAUUUGAAUACAGUAAGAACAUUACAGAUACACUAAGAAUUAAAUUCGAAUAAGGUUUAAGCUAAGAAGACGGUAGGAAUAGUUAUGCUAGCUGGGUUAUCGCUUCAAUAUCAUCUCAUAUCGCACGACGUUUUCCAUCCAACCAAUUAAUUUAGCCACAGUUGUGGAAUAGAAUCAACCACAUAUUUUUUCAUGUCUUUGGUACAUUUGGGUAUCAAACAUUUGAAAUUUGUCCCGUCGUUAUCGUGGGGUUGAAAAAACAACAACUGCGCGACGAAAUGCCGGAAGAAAAAAAUGUUCUGAAUUGAACAAUGAAGAAAAAGACAUUUUGCUUGAAAUCUUAUUGUAGCAGUCAAGGUUGACUAGUUGAUAGUUGCCUUUGACUAUGAAAAACAGCGAGAUAAUCGCCGUGUUGAUUCGAAUAAGUCGAUAAAUUCAUGAUAAUAAUGAAGCGUAUAGUAUUUCCGUUUCAAUUUAUUGGUUUAAAUUACGUAACGAAUGAUAUUAUUGAUUGAAUGGGUUAAAUUAACUCGUUAUUUUAAUAUCUGGAAAGUUCGAUUAUUUCACGUAUGUUUGGAUGUAAGCCCUGGUGGGUAAGCGUUAACGUUUCCAGUAAACUAAAUUACGUCCAAUCUGAAACUACGUAUAUAUCGUCGUUGAAAAAUGUAGGUGCACUAAGAAUUUUUAAAUAAAGAUUUAAAAAAAAAAUCAAAAUUUAUUAAAAGUAGAUGAGUUAAGUAAAAAUUUAGUAAAAAUUAUAGAUAAGUAAAAUGUAUUAAAAGUAAAAGAUAAGUCACCAAUGUCAGCUGCAGUUCAUUCAGUUCAUGCUGUAGAAAAAUACUAUCAAUCAAUUUUCCAAUGAGCCGAAACCAAAUCCAUGGAAACAUUUGAAGAAAGUUGCCAAUUCAACUGAAAUCAUCCGAAAAAUCCGGCACCAAAGAGCAUUGCUAAUCGAAAUAAGUAUGUUCCUCAUCAAAAUAUACGAACCCAUUGCGCUAUUGGCAAUAUAUACCAUCGGUGAACGCGAGGCUCAGAAGAAGACCGCGCUAGUCAAAUGCCAAACAUUCAUCAAAUAUCCGUUGAAUCUACGACGAAAGACGAAAAAGCAAGAAGAAAAUGAAACUGAUUCUUUGGCCUGGACGACAAUAUCAAUUCGAUCACAUUUCCUUCAUCGUGCUCACUCGAGUGGUGGAACGACUCAGGUGUGGAUCAAAAGUCAAAUACGUUUCAUUGCAUUUUCAUCGGUAGAGGCAUAUUGGGCGAACAGCCAAGCUUAGCAGCCAUGGUUUUGGAAUAAAUUGAGCUCAGACUCACCAAUAACCAAGAGAGGAAUAAGAGUAAUCGUCGACCACAAUUCACCGUAUCAAUUAGAAAAAGAAAGGUGAAUGCACUUCAAAAUGCUUGGCCACUGAUCUUUGCUUCCUCUUCGAACAAGGUUUUGCUUCUUUCAAUGAGCAUUUGUAUCAAACUACUCGGAUCGAUCAUGGAAGAGCUAGCAAUUUAACAGCUUGGCAUAUCUCUUGAUGAUCCAAUGUGAAAAAAAACUUCUGCAUAUCAAUUUAAUUUCUGUUUGAAAUCAACAAAAAAGACGAUUUUCAUCAACUACACCAUUAGAUGGAAAUAUUGACUACCUUAGGGACAUUUGUGGCCUUAUUUACAUAGCCUUAUCAUACUUUACAUAAUAUGUUUAUUUUGAUUGGAUCUUCGUAAGUAUUGGUAUUCAAAUUUCAAUAAAUUUCAAACAAAUAUGAACAAACUCAAUCAAAUUUGCCGGAUUAGUCACCAUAGUCGAAGAAUUUGUACAAGGGAACAACAGUAAAUUUAUCUAAUUUUGGCAGCAAUAUCAUUUAGGGCAAUUUGAGUAAGAAAAACGAUAAUAAUGACCUAAUUUGUUAUGUUGAUAAAUUUUGUAAUGAGUAGAUUUAAGAAUUGAUUCUCAGACGGUUAGAGAAUAGUACCUACUAUCAACUUGUAUCUUUGGGUUGAAAAAUAAAAUCGUUGAACUUAAAGUA